rfam:Gossypium raimondii chromosome 1, whole genome shotgun sequence.
AAACCAUGCAUCAGGCAUUUUUGAAUUAGUUCCUUGAAACGUUCCCAAGCUUCAUAUAAUGUGUUAUCUUCAGAUUGCCUGAACGAUGUAAUGACGUUUCUCAGCUU